GCGGGUGUGGCGGAACGGUAGACGCGACGGUCUCAAACACCGUUGGGGGCAACUCCAUGUCAGUUCGAGUCUGACCACCCGCACCA
rnacentral:tRNA from 1 species